AGGACGAACGCUGGCGGCGUGCUUAACACAUGCAAGUCGAGCGGUAAGGCCUUUCGGGGUACACGAGCGGCGAACGGGUGAGUAACACGUGGGUGAUCUGCCCUGCACUUCGGGAUAAGCCUGGGAAACUGGGUCUAAUACCGGAUAUGACCUCCUAUCGCAUGGUGGGUGGUGGAAAGAUUUAUCGGUGCAGGAUGGGCCCGCGGCCUAUCAGCUUGUUGGUGGGGUAAUGGCCUACCAAGGCGACGACGGGUAGCCGACCU
rnacentral:rRNA from 1 species